ensembl:lncRNA
GUGGAUUGAAACGUCUCGAUUACUCUUCAGGCAGUGGGAGCUGAUGACUGAAGUGGACAUCUUUCCUGGUCACUGCUGUUUUCCAAGUGCUGGCCUGCACUCUGAGGGAUCCCACUCAAAGAACCUUGAGGUGAAAAUGUAUGUUCACAAAAGAGAAACUGGUAGCGGUGCCCUUAUUCUGAUUUGUCUUCAUGUUUCUCACUUGAACUGUUUGGUAUCUGGAUGCUGUUUAAUGAUUUCAGUAGUCCAUUGUCAGGGUGUCCAUUGCAUAGCUCUGUUUUCAGGUGCUUACAGCUUGGUUUUCAGUUCAGCUCUGCAGUAGGAAGGCCUGGUCAAAAUGUUCUGCAAGUUGUUUCAAAUUACUUACUUUCACCUUUUUUUUUUUCUUUAAUGAAAAGUAAAUGAGUAAUUUUGGUGACAAGGGAUUUGUAUCAUCAAUUCAAAAUGGCAAUGCUUAGGCCUUGAGAAUUGGUUUUGGUACAUGUGUAGUGAAUGCUAUCCACAGGCAACCAAUGUGCUGCGUGCACCCUAGAUACAUAUUUACAUUUGCUUUCAGUUCACUGGGUAUAUAAAAUCCUUUCAUGUAUAAAUAUGUGUAAAAAUAUCAAAUAUCUUCAAAUGGUAACUUUCUGGAAAACAAAAUCUGUUGAAUAUGGUGGGGAAAUCUCCAGCAAUUCAUGCAAAAAGAGCACAGCUCUGCAGCUCCUCCAGUGUUAAACAAUCUAUGGGAGCAUUUAGGACUGCUGUCUGAAAUAAGGAUGUGCAGGAUGAAGCCCAUGUUCCUGGGAUCUUACUUUUCCUCCUCCCCUUCUAGAACAAGGGGGUAGGGACUGUAUCACUUAAUAUGUCAGAAGACAGAAAAUGAAAAGAAAAAAAAAAGAAAAAAAAAAACAGAAACAGUACUUAUAUCCAGCAUAUACUGAAGUAAUUACAAUUCUCAGUGACCACUUUGUGAUGCUGUAGAUUUGGGGACACUUUGGCUUCAGAAAUACUUAUCCCCUGAAGCUGGACAUGCAGCAGUUGGGGCACUGAGGAUUACUGGUCACUUCUGAAAAUAUGCAUCACUUACCAAGCUCUUAUUUUAGGUUAGGUGUAACUCAAUGAGAUAGUUCCAAACGGCAAAAGUGUGUGCUUGGGAGUUGUUUGUCCCAAUGCUUCGGAAUAAUUUAACUUAUUUUGUAUAUUGCAGAAGAUGUAUAUUGCUUAGUAUGACACUUACUUAAAAAAAAAAUGUGUACAGCUUCUGGGGGAAAGAAUAGGACACUCUAAGUAGACAAGAAGUUUUUAUAAUUGAGGAUGUGGUGUAAAGGCUCCAGGUAUAACUGCCAUUAAAAGCAAGUCCUACAGCUUGGGUUUUUGACUAUCGUUUUGUAAAUGCUGGCACCCCACACCUGAGCUUGUGAUCAGGAGAGGGGAUGAUACAGCAAUAGAGAGGACACGUGCUUAAUGAAGGCAGGUGUGUCUGCAAAUAGAUCUACUAUUGCUACAUAUAACCCCAAAGGUUACUAAGGAAAACUGAAAGAUAGAGUUGCUCUAUUCCUUCAGUUGGUUUACUUUGUGCACUUGGCAGCACUUUGUGUAUAGUCAGUCUCACUGGUUCCCCAGGUGCAGACCGAGUUGGUUUCUCCUGCUGUUGGAAUGCUCUUUCCACUAACAGGAGAUGGGGAAUGGGUGGAGGGAAGUGGAAUGGAAAGAUGUGGACGCAGCCCAUGCAAUUUGCAAUAUGGGUCUUGGACAGGCUUAAAAACUGCUUCUGAUUUGCCCUUUAAAGACUGUAUUUCAAAUGGAAGGUCUCUGGGUAAGAGAAUCAUCUUGACACCCUCCAUUUCUCAUCGUGACCUUCAGAGCAACAGGAAAAGCUGUUCACAGUCUCUUUUCUUGAGGGAGCGGUUCCACCAGCACAGCACGGACGUGGAGAAGAUUCGGAUCAGUCCGUAGAGCACUGUGACAAUGUUUGCCUUUGGGGAUGUUGCUUGGAGUCCACGCAGGUUCCUUUGUCCUUUGUUCCUCUUCUUAUGUCCCACAUGACUAAACCGAUUAGUGAUACUUAGAUUAGUCUGUCAGAACUUGACUUAAAUGAUCCUAAGGGGAUAAAGUCCUUCUACUAAAACAUACUAUAGGCCUCGUUACCAGUGCACCAUUUGUUAGUUUAAAGUCCUUAACUGAUACUAAUCUGCUACUCAAGUUAGUGGUAGAAAAGGAAAUCAAACCAUACAGCUAUAUACCUUGUUUAGUUUUCCAUUUCAUACUCAUUAUAUGGACUCUAAAAUCUUGUACAGUAUCUUAUUCCUAUGCUAUAUUCAUUAAAAUGGUACUUCUCCCCCUAACCUGCAUGAAAACGAUUUGUUUUUCAUGCCAGUCAGGUUGCUAGUUGCUAGCCCUGCUUCUUAGAUUUGCAGCAGCCAUGAGAUGGCAUUGAACUGAUUCAAACACUUAAAUGUCACUGUUGUCGGUAUGCACGAUGGUUCUUGAAUAGGCGCAGAGUUUUAGGCAGAUGCUAGACAAGCAUUGGAUGUAUUCACUGUCCCAGAUAGCAUAGACCAGGUAAUUGCUAGCAGAAUGGCUGUCCUCCAAUUUGUGUGACAAUUAGAUCGAAAACUGCCGGAUAGGUUAAAAUCUCAGAUAUACUUACAUGAAAUACAGUCUCGUCUUACUCCUGUGUGCUGUUUGCAUGUUCACAAAGAAAUCUGGAGUUCCUUAACAUCAGUCUCAUUCACAGUUGGCCUCGUUUUUCUUUUCUUUCUCUAGAAGUCCCGCAAGCCGAGCUCUUUGCAAGGCUUAACCCGUGCAUUUCAGAGUCCUGAACCUUGAUUUUUAAAUCUUUUCCAUCGUGACUUGCUACAGUAUCAAAGGGAAAGGACCGAGGGACACACACUGUGUGUGUGGGAGGUGGGGAGAGAGAUGUUGAAAAAACUGGAAUUGUCAUUGUUGCACAUAAAUUGGGUGGUGCUUUCACUGUCCUUCCCCCCUCGCCAGAAAUACCACAUGCAUGUGAAACACGAUGCAUUAAAACCUUUUAAAAUGGAAGACAUGGUGGCCUCAGUGCUCAAAGGGUUAACUGCAGUUUAAUAACAGCUCAUGUUUUUAGAUUUGCAGUACACAACUGUUUAAAUACUGUAUUCCUUGUAAAUGAAGUAAAAAAAAAAAUGUUAAGGCUGGUGCCAAUAUUUUUGUUAAUGAAUUGUUCAGCGUUGUCUCACUACAGUCUGGUCAGAACUCUUUGUGUAUAAGCUGGGCCUGAAGCCAUUUUAUAGCUUGUAGGCCUAAUUGUGUAACUUUUCUUUCAUAAUGUUUUUGUUAUAAUAUCUACUGUCAUUUCUUUCAUAUAAAUAUGACAUGUAAAUUGUCAUAAUAAAAAAAAAAA